UGCAAGUCGAGCGGUAGCACAGAGAGCUUGCUCUCGGGUGACGAGCGGCGGACGGGUGAGUAAUGUCUGGGAAACUGCCUGAUGGAGGGGGAUAACUACUGGAAACGGUAGCUAAUACCGCAUAACGUCGCAAGACCAAAGUGGGGGACCUUCGGGCCUCAUGCCAUCAGAUGUGCCCAGAUGGGAUUAGCUAGUAGGUGGGGUAACGGCUCACCUAGGCGACGAUCCCUAGCUGGUCUGAGAGGAUGACCAGCCACACUGGAACUGAGACACGGUCCAGACUCCUACGGGAGGCAGCAGUGGGGAAUAUUGCACAAUGGGCGCAAGCCUGAUGCAGCCAUGCCGCGUGUGUGAAGAAGGCCUUCGGGUUGUAAAGCACUUUCAGCGGGGAGGAAGGCGAUAAGGUUAAUAACCUUGUCGAUUGACGUUACCCGCAGAAGAAGCACCGGCUAACUCCGUGCCAGCAGCCGCGGUAAUACGGAGGGUGCAAGCGUUAAUCGGAAUUACUGGGCGUAAAGCGCACGCAGGCGGUCUGUCAAGUCGGAUGUGAAAUCCCCGGGCUCAACCUGGGAACUGCAUUCGAAACUGGCAGGCUAGAGUCUUGUAGAGGGGGGUAGAAUUCCAGGUGUAGCGGUGAAAU
rnacentral:rRNA from 1 species